AAAAUUGAAAAAUUUCAAGAGUGAACUGAAUCAGUAAUAUUUCUUAAAAAUGUGAUCAAUUGAUCACAUGUAUAACUUAUGAGGUAACACUUUCAAAAAUGCUGACUUUUAGUCCAAUUCUACUUCUCAAUGUCCCUAUUUUUUUUUAAGAUUUAUUUACCCAUUUAGAGAGAGAGAGAGAGAUACAGAGAGAGAGAGAGAGCACCAGCAGGAGGACAGAGGGAGUGAGAAUCCCAAGCAGAUUCCAUGCUGAGCAUAGAGCCAGACUGAGGGGGGGCUCAAUCUUACCACCCUGAGAUCAGAAGUUGGACAGUCAACCAACUGUGCCACCCAGAUGUCCCAUGAUGUCUCUGUUUAUGUUAAAGGAACAGAAGUAAAACUAUACUUCAUAGUCCAUAAAAUUUAGCAUGUACAUCAAUAAAGUAUGGCACUCAUUAAUUUUUUCUCACAGUACCAAUGGACUGCCUAAAAAAGAUGAAGUAAAAACAAUAAGUGCCAGAGGAAGAUCAUUCCUGUUUAUGAAGUUCCUGGAAAGUUACCCUUAAUGCAGUUUUCAAGCACAAACAAAGAGAAAAACAAUUGACGGCCUUUCUUAAUAUUUGCAAUUCGCUUGUUUCAUUUUCAUGUGCAUGGAGACAGUGUUCCCCUCUAAUGAAAGUAUCAGAGAACCA
rnacentral:lncRNA from 12 species